UACGAGGGGUGCAAGCGUUGUCCGGAUUCAUUGGGCGUAAAGAGCUCGUAGGCGGCUUGGCAAGUCGGGUGUGAAAACUCAAGGCUCAACCUUGAGCGGCCACUCGAUACUGCUAUGGCUUGAGUCCGGUAGGGGACCACGGAAUUCCUGGUGUAGCGGUGAAAUGCGCAGAUAUCAGGAGGAACACCGGUGGCGAAGGCGGUGGUCUGGGCCGGUACUGACGCUGAGGAGCGAAAGCGUGGGGAGCGAACAGG
rnacentral:misc_RNA from 1 species